rnacentral:rRNA from 1 species
GACAGAGGGUGCAAACGUUGUUCGGAAUUACUGGGCGUAAAGCGCGUGUAGGCUGUCUUGCAAGUCGGGUGUGAAAGCCCUGGGCUCAACCUAGGAAGUGCACUCGAAACUGCAGGACUCGAGUCCUGGAGAGGAAGGCGGAAUUCUCGGUGUAGAGGUGAAAUUCGUAGAUAUCGAGAGGAACACCGGUGGCGAAGGCGGCAUCCUGGACCGACAUUGACGCUGAUGAGCGAAAGCUAGGGGAGCAAACGGG